AGUGAACGCUGGCGGUAGGCCUAACACAUGCAAGUCGAACGGCAGCACAGUAAGAGCUUGCUCUUACGGGUGGCGAGUGGCGGACGGGUGAGGAAUACAUCGGAAUCUACUUUUUCGUGGGGGAUAACGUAGGGAAACUUACGCUAAUACCGCAUACGACCUACGGGUGAAAGCAGGGGAUCUUCGGACCUUGCGCGAUUGAAUGAGCCGAUGUCGGAUUAGCUAGUUGGCGGGGUAAAGGCCCACCAAGGCGACGAUCCGUAGCUGGUCUGAGAGGAUGAUCAGCAACACUGGAACUAAGACACGGUCCAGACUCCUACGGGAGGCAGCAGUGGGGAAUAUUGGACAAUGGGCGCAAGCCUGAUCCAGCCAUACCGCGUGGGUGAAGAAGGCCUUCGGGUUGUAAAGCCCUUUUGUUGGGAAAGAAAAGCAGCAGGUUAAUACCCCGCUGUUCUGACGGUACCCAAAGAAUAAGCACCGGCUAACUUCGUG
rnacentral:rRNA from 1 species